rnacentral:rRNA from 1 species
GAUGAACGCUGGCGGCGUGCUUAACACAUGCAAGUCGAACGGAAAGGCUCCUGCUUGCAGGGGUACUCGAGUGGCGAACGGGUGAGUAACACGUGGGUGAUCUGCCCUGCACUUCGGGAUAAGCCUGGGAAACUGGGUCUAAUACCGGAUAGGACGAUGGUUUGGAUGCCAUUGUGGAAAGUUUUUCGGUGUGGGAUGAGCUCGCGGCCUAUCAGCUUGUUGGUGGGGUAAUGGCCUACCAAGGCGUCGACGGGUAGCCGGCCUGAGAGGGUGUACGGCCACAUUGGGACUGAGAUACGGCCCAGACUCCUACGGGAGGCAGCAGUGGGGAAUAUUGCAUAAUGGGCGCAAGCCUGAUGCAGCGACGCCGCGUGGGGGAUGACGGCCUUCGGGUUGUAAACUCCUUUCGCUAGGGACGAAGCGCAAGUGACGGUACCUGGAGAAGAAGCACCGGCUAACUACGUG